UAUCAUUAACUGAAUCCAUAGGUUAAUGAGGCGAACCGGGGGAACUGAAACAUCUAAGUACCCCGAGGAAAAGAAAUCAACCGAGAUUCCCCCAGUAGCGGCGAGCGAACGGGGAGGAGCCCAGAGCCUGAAUCAGUGUGUGUGUUAGUGGAAGCGUCUGGAAAGGCGCGCGAUACAGGGUGACAGCCCCGUACACAAAAAUGCACAUGCUGUGAGCUCGAUGAGUAGGGCGGGACACGUGGUAUCCUGUCUGAAUAUGGGGGGACCAUCCUCCAAGGCUAAAUACUCCUGACUGACCGAUAGUGAACCAGUACCGUGAGGGAAAGGCGAAAAGAACCCCGGCGAGGGGAGUGAAAAAGAACCUGAAACCGUGUACGUACAAGCAGUGGGAGCACAGAGCAAUCUGUGUGACUGCGUACCUUUUGUAUAAUGGGUCAGCGACUUAUAUUCUGUAGCAAGGUUAACCGAAUAGGGGAGCCGAAGGGAAACCGAGUCUUAACUGGGCGUUAAGUUGCAGGGUAUAG
rnacentral:rRNA from 1 species